rnacentral:rRNA from 1 species
UACGAAGGGGGCUAGCGUUGCUCGGAAUUACUGGGCGUAAAGCGCACGUAGGCGGCUUUUUAAGUCGGAGGUGAAAUCCUGGAGCUCAACUCCAGAACUGCCUUCGAUACUGAAGAUCUUGAGUUCGGGAGAGGUGAGUGGAACUGCGAGUGUAGAGGUGAAAUUCGUAGAUAUUCGCAAGAACACCAGUGGCGAAGGCGGCUCACUGGCCCGAUACUGACGCUGAGGCACGAAAGCGUGGGGAGCAAACAGG